rnacentral:precursor_RNA from 13 species
UGUCGAGUCAUUUCCAAUUCACGGCGACUCUAUGGACAUAUUCUCUCCAGAAUGUCCCAUCUUCUUCAUUCUGGUGUGUAUAUCCAUAGAGUUUUCAUGGUAAAAAAUACAGAAGUGGUU